UCUCGCCUGCCCAGUGACUCUGUUCAACGGCCGCGGUAUCCUAACCGUGCAAAGGUAGCGUAAUCACUUGUCUUUUAAAUAGGGACUAGUAUGAAAGGCAUCACGAGGGCUAAGCUGUCUCCUUUUUCUAAUCAGUGAACCUGAUCUCCCUGUGAAGAAGCAGGGAUAUUCGUAUAAGACGAGAAGACCCUGUGGAGCUUAAAACACCACAACACCUGCUGACUUUUAAAUUAUUCGAUUUACCAUCUAUAUAGCAUGUUGAUUGUGAGUUUUUGGUUGGGGUGACCGCGGAGAAUAACUAAUCCUCCAUAACGAACGGGAAUUCCCUAAACAAUAAGUUACAACUUUAUGUAUCAAUAAAUUGACAUCCAUUGACCCAAUACACUUGAUCAACGAACCAAGUUACCCCAGGGAUAACAGCGCAAUCCACUUUAAGAGCUCCUAUCGACAAGUGGGCUUACGACCUCGAUGUUGGAUCGGGAUAUCCUAGUGGUGUAGUCGCUACUAAGGGUUCGUUUGUUCAACGAUUAAAAUCCC
rnacentral:rRNA from 1 species